rnacentral:rRNA from 1 species
AGAGUUUGAUCCUGGCUCAGAACCAACGCUGGCGGCGUGCUUAACACAUGCAAGUCGAACGAGAAAGCCCCUUCGGGGGUGAUUAAAGUGGCGAACGGGUGAGUAACACGUAGGUAACCUGCCUUUGAGUGGGGGACAACAUCUCGAAAGGGGUGCUAAUACCGCAUAACGCCACAGUUUCCUCGGAAACUGUGGUCAAAGGCGGCCCCUCUUGGAAGCUACCGCUCGAAGAUGGGCCUGCGCACCAUUAGCUUGUUGGUAGGGUAACGGCCUACCAAGGCUCCGAUGGUUAGCUGGUCUGAGAGGAUGAUCAGCCACACUGGAACUGAGACACGGUCCAGACUCCUACGGGAGGCAGCAGUGGGGAAUAUUGGACAAUGGGGGAAACCCUGAUCCAGCAACGCCGUGUGAGUGAUGAAGGCCCUCGGGUCGUAAAGCUCUGUCAGUGGGGAAGAACCGAGCAAGCAUCAGAUCCUUGCUUUUGACGGUACCCACAAAGGAAGCACCGGCUAACUCCGUGCCAGCAGCCGCGGUAAUACGGAGGGUGCAAGCGUUGUUCGAAAUUAUUGGGCGUAAA